rnacentral:rRNA from 1 species
GCGCGAAACCUCUUCAAUGCACGCAAGUGUGAAAGGGGGAUCCCAAGUGCUCAAGCUUAGCUUGGGCUUUUGCUAUGUGUAAAUAGCAUGGCGAAUAAGUGGUGGGUAAGACUGGUGCCAGCCGCCGCGGUAACCCCAGCGCCACGAGUGGCACUCGCGUUUAUUGGGCCUAAAGCGUCCGUAGCAGGUUCUAUACAUCUCUUGUGAAAUUGCCAGGCUUAACUUGGCAGAGUGCAGGGGGCACUGUAGGACUUGAGACCGGGAAGGGUUAGAGGUAUUCCUGAGGGAGCGGUAAAAUGCUAUAAUCUCAGGAGGACCACCUGUGGCGAAGGCGUCUAACUAGAACGGAUCUGACUGUGAGGGACGAAAGCUAGGGGAGCAAAACGG